GGCAAGCUGCAAGACACACGGGACAUCGGCGUGAGCCUGGCUGUCAGGAACAGCGUGGUGCCCUAUCUCAGUACGGGGAUGGAUACCUCGUGGACAACAGAAUAUUAUACAGCCGUGAAAAUGAACCAGCCACAGUUUGUGCAAUGCUACGAGUGCAUCUCACGAUGUUAAUCAGAAGAAGUAAAAAGCACCGGACAUGUACAAUACGAUUCCAUACAGGCUGCCUGCACGUAUCCAAGGCUUAUCCUCCAGUCAUUCUCCCUGUGGAUAAAGUUACUCAUCCACGCCUUACUCUGCUGGAAAAAUUCUUAAACGAGUCACCACAAAAGGAACAAAACCAAUCCCGUCCAAAAGAACGAAGCUACAAAGAUGAUGACAGCUCCGCUCUGCCCAGAAGCUUGUCAGGCCAGGAGCUGGGUCUCUUUGGGAGUGAUCCCAUGCACAGGUAACAGCACCCAAACGAAACUUCCAGUUUUAGUCUUGAGGAUCCUGAGCCAGUCGUUUACCUUUGACCUGGCCCACACGCACAGGUGGCAAGAAGAACACUGUGUGGAGAAUAGUGUCCCAGAAGGUCCCACCCCGGCCAAGGACAAGGCCAGAUACAGGAGAGGAGUCCAGGGUCCUGCCACAUCUGGACACCAUCCCAGACCUAACAUCAGGAGGAAGGAAAAGUGGCUGGCUCUGCAGAAGUGGGAAAAGCAUGGGACUUCCCUGGCGGUCCAGUGGUUAAGACUCUGCGCUACCAC